AAACUUUCAACAACGGAUCUCUUGGUUCUGGCAUCGAUGAAGAACGCAGCGAAAUGCGAUAAGUAAUGUGAAUUGCAGAAUUCAGUGAAUCAUCGAAUCUUUGAACGCACAUUGCGCCCUGCGGUAUUCCGCAGGGCAUGCCUGUUCGAGCGUCAUUU
rnacentral:rRNA from 1 species